rnacentral:rRNA from 1 species
CCUACGGGGGGCUGCAGUGGGGAAUAUUGGACAAUGGGGGCAACCCUGAUCCAGCCAUGCCGCGUGUGUGAAGAAGGCCCUCGGGUUGUAAAGCACUUUCAGUGAGGAAGAACGCCUGGUGGUUAAUACCCAUCAGGAAAGACAUCACUCACAGAAGAAGCACCGGCUAACUCCGUUCCAGCAGCCGCGGUAAUACGGAGGGUGCGAGCGUUAAUCGGAAUUACUGGGCGUAAAGCGCGCGUAGGUGGCUUGAUAAGCCGGUUGUGAAAGCCCCGGGCUCAACCUGGGAACGGCAUCCGGAACUGUCAAGCUAGAGUGCAGGAGAGGAAGGUAGAAUUCCCGGUGUAGCGGUGAAAUGCGUAGAGAUCGGGAGGAAUACCAGUGGCGAAGGCGGCCUUCUGGACUGACCCUGAGACUGAGGUGCGAAAGCGUGGGUAGCAAACAGGAUUAGAUACCCUUGUAGUC